AAUCUAAUCCUAAUCUAGUGGCCACCUGCUUUCCCACUGUGAUAUCUUUAUAAGGAUCGGAAACCAAACUGAAGAAAGUAAUUCCCUUGUCCGCAAACGCGUUACACUGCAGCCAGUUACAAUUUACAGUCACAUUCACCCCCAAAAUGCAGAAGCAGAGAGCAGCCCUUGCAUUUCUUCUGCUUCUUUUCAUAGUAGCGGUGGAUUUGGAGGUUCCCAUCUCAGCUCAAGUCAACUGCGACGAUGCUUGUACCACCGGCUGCGUUAAUCCUGACCCUAGGCUAGAGGCACGUUGUAAUCUCAAGUGCCAGAUAAGGUGCGGUCCAGAUGAUGCUCGAGCUAAGCACAAUUUAGGUGGGAAUUGAAUCCAUAGUGAAACAAACAUCUGGAGCGCGUUGGAAUUGGUAAAUGCCUAAAUGGUUAAAGCUAAGGAGUAAGGUAGAAGUGGAGUUCCAAUUUCCACUUGGGUUGUUUGCCAAAGGAGAUUUUACUAGUAGUACUGUUUUACUAUCAUUUACGUCUGUUGUUCUUACGAGUUACCAAGCCAAAAAUAAAGAAAAUCGGCCUUUCAGCUGCCUUUACUACAUAAAAAAAUAAUUCAUGGAUUUCCAAUUUCGGAAAUCAGGAAAUCUUGUUGAUUUAUGUUUUGCUGGCUGCUGGCUUGUAUCUCGUACUAAUAAGAGAUGAUGCAAAUUUUCAGUGAGUGGUCAUGAUCAUGAUGCAGUUCACCGUUUCCA